CUUAAAAUCUAGUCUCUUUUGAGAUUCGAAUUGUAGUGUAAAUUAACAUUAAUAUGGUCAUGAUAAUUGCCUAAGUGUGAACAUCUGAAUUUCCUAUCAAAGACGGUGAUAAUCCGGUAUGGUAGUUUGAUUGGCUAAAUAUUCUUGUUAUUUAAAGAGUCGAGUUGUUUGGGAUUGCAACUCUAAUAAAGGUGAUAGAUUUCAUCUAAAGCUAAAUAUAUUAGGAAAACCGAUAGCAAAGAAGUACUGUGAAGGAAAGGUGAAAAGAACCUCGAAAGGGGGGGUCAAAAGCGCUCGAAAUCGUAGAGGGGGAAGCGGACCUGACCGACGAGACCUCGUCGUCGCUCGCGCUCGACCCACGCUUCGUCGCGGAGUUCCGGAGGGCUCGCCCCCGGAGCCGCGGCGCGGCGGGGGUCGGGAGGCGCUCGGCGGCGGGGCCGCUUGCGCGGGACCGGCGUCGCGCCGAACGAGAGGUCGCCUCGGCUCGCCCGAAAGGACGCGCCGGGGGGCCGCCCGGAGGCGCGGCGUCGGCCCGAGGGAGAAGGAGAUCGCAUCGACGGGGC
rnacentral:rRNA from 1 species